GGGUGCGAUCAUACCAGCACUAAUGCACCGGAUCCCAUCAGAACUCCACAGCUAAGCGUGCCUGGGCGAGAGUAGUACUAGGAUGGGUGACCUCUUGGGAAGUCCUUGGGUUGCACCCU
rfam:Gossypium raimondii scaffold_179_contig_6, whole genome shotgun sequence.